GACGAACGCUGGCGGCGUGCUUAACACAUGCAAGUCGAGCGGUAAGGCCCUUUCGGGGGUACACGAGCGGCGAACGGGUGAGUAACACGUGGGUGACCUGCCCUCCACUCUGGGAUAAGCCCGGGAAACUGGGUCUAAUACCGGAUAGGACCUCUCAACGCAUGUUGGGUGGUGGAAAGUUUUUUCGGUGGGGGAUGGGCCCGCGGCCUAUCAGCUUGUUGGUGGGGUGAUGGCCUACCAAGGCGGUGACGGGUAGCCGGCCUGAGAGGGCGACCGGCCACACUGGGACUGAGACACGGCCCAGACUCCUACGGGAGGCAGCAGUGGGGAAUAUUGCGCAAUGGGCGGAAGCCUGACGCAGCGACGCCGCGUGGGGGAUGACGGCCUUCGGGUUGUAAACCUCUUUCGCCAGGGACGAAGCUUUUGUGACGGUACCUGGAGAAGAAGCACCGGCCAACUACGUGCCAGCCGCCGCGGUAAAAC
rnacentral:rRNA from 1 species